UAACACGUGAGCAACCUGCCUUUCANAGGGGGAUAACAGUUGGAAACGACUGCUAAUACCGCAUAACGCUGCGAUGGGGCAUCCCGAUGCAGCCAAAGGAGCAAUCCGCUGGAAGAUGGGCUCGCGGCCGAUUAGCUAGUUGGUGGGGCAACGGCCCACCAAGGCGACGAUCGGUAGCCGGACUGAGAGGUUGAUCGGCCACAUUGGGACUGAGACACGGCCCAAACUCCUACGGGAGGCAGCAG
rnacentral:rRNA from 1 species